GGAGGAAUUCCCGAGUGGCCAAAGGGGGCAGACUGUAAAUCUGUUAUCGUUGAUUUCGAUGGUUCGAAUCCAUCUUCCUCCA
rfam:Clostridium magnum DSM 2767 CLMAG_contig000006, whole genome shotgun sequence.